GCGCGAAAACUUUACAAUGCGGGAAACCGCGAUAAGGGGAUACUGAGUGCCAGCAUAUUAUGUUGGCUGUCCAUCUGUAUAAAUAGCAGGUGUUAGCAAGGGCCGGGCAAGACCGGUGCCAGCCGCCGCGGUAACACCGGCGGCCCGAGUGGUGGCCACUAUUAUUGGGUCUAAAGGGUCCGUAGCCGGUUUGAUCAGUCUUCCGGGAAAUCUGACAGCUCAACUGUUAGGCUUCUGGGGGAUACUGUCAGACUUGGGACCGGGAGAGGUAAGAGGUACUACAGGGGUAGGAGUGAAAUCUUGUAAUCCUUGUGGGACCACCAGUGGUGAAGGCGUCUUACCAGAACGGGUCCGACGGUGAGGGACGAAAGCUGGGGGCACGAACCGGAUUAGAUACCCGGGUAGUCCCAGCCGUAAACGAUGCUCGCUAGGUGUCUGGGACGGUGCGACCGUUUCAGGUGCCGCAGGGAAGCCGUGAAGCGAGCCACCUGGGAAGUACGGCCGCAAGGCUGAAACU
rnacentral:rRNA from 1 species